AUUUGAAAAGUAAAUGCAUUAAAUAGGAUGGUUAUAUUCAAUUGAAAAUUUAUACUUUGCUUUAAUUACAUUUACAAACACAUACAUGUCUUAAAUAUGAGCAAAAUGAGAUUACACGUAAUAGCAGUUAUAAAUAAUACAUUUAUUUCAUAGUAAUGAGUUGUCGAAUAAAUGUUUAUAAAUUAUCCGUAAAAUUACAAUCAAAACAAACAUUAAAUAUUGCUAACAAAUACGAUGAAUGAAUGUAACAAAAAUUGUAUAAGAAAACCGAGAAAAGAAUUGUACUGUCGAUAUAACAAUACAGGUAUAGUUUUGUAUAAGUAUUGAAAUAAGAUGACUGACCAAGGCCAAUUACUAGAAUUGUAAAUAGAUUAAAGAAUUGAUGUGUAUAAGUGAUAGGAGAAUUAUGUUAAGAUUCUUGAAAAUAUUGAUGAUGAAACAGCAAAUAUUAUUUGGAACAUAGCGAUGCCGCUUCAAUUAUAAUAUAAAAUAUUUUACCUUCUGUGCUGUAGUAUCUGCCAUUAUACACUCCAUGAAAAAAAAAAGUUUAUAAAAUAUAACCACACUAUCCCUUUGUUGUAACGUACAACUUCAAACAGGAAGUUGCGAGUUAUUUUUUCUUCGUCAAAAUCGAGACACCAUAGAGCUGAUUGAGAUAAUUAUAAUCAUAGCAUGUGCUAAGGUGCACGAUGAUACACAAAAUGUCAAUCUUUAUUCUUUUACUUUUUACAUGUUUUAUUUCGUAUUCUGUAGAAGUUGUUUUUACUAUAAUCUACACAAUUUGAAUUCGCUUUUUUGAUAGAAAUGGAAAUGUAAGAAAACAUGAUGUGAUAAAUUAUAAUUGUAUUCGUUAUAAUUGAUGUGAGUAGAAUACUAAUAAUAAAAAAUGAUAUUUUGUUUUCAAUUAACUGUCAGAAAUUAAAUAUAAUAAUCUAUGAAAAUGUCAAAUAAGUAGGUACCAGAAGUAGGAGAGAGAUAAAAGGAUAAUACUUCAUUAAAUCAAAUGUC